GGGGGGGGGAAAGAGUGAGAGGAGGAGGCAAUGUUGGACGAGGAGAGGUGAGAGAGAUAAGUGCCAUGUACACAGUACCAUAAUAAUAACACAGGGAGAAGUCCGUCGCACCGCGCUGUAACUGUGGUGCAAGUAGUUAGGGUAGUAGUGAAUGGACUACGGGUACAAUAUGAGAGAGUAUGCAACAAGGAGGAGAAAUGGUUACAACCAUCAACGAGCUUCUAAUACAACGCUGGAUAGGCCAAAUAAUGAACGUUAGAGAAAAAAAAAGUUUUUGUUUACUAUAGUGAGAGUUCAGUUAAUGAUUGUUUACGAGUAAAUGAAUGGAUUAUGAAAUAUGAUUUACGUUAUUGUU